AUGGAUGGAAGUGAUACAUCUGUCUGGUUGCAGCAUAUCAGAUUAGGACAAAGACACACAUAAAUAUGGUAACCAGCUGCAGGUCUGGGGAAUGGUUCCAGUUCACUGUGUGCAAGCACCAGCUUCCACAGAAACCUUCAACCAAGGGGAAAGGGAAGCCAGUGGUGAGCUUGAGAGGUGCUUUCUAAACUCCCCAGAGGUCCCCACUGAACAGAGCUCUGCUGUCUACAGUUGUCACCUUGGAAAUACAGGAGAUAGAGGAACAAGAUCGCUGUUGACUCAAGGGAUGUCCAAUUUUCCCAGGAUGGAUGAUUGGUAUUUCAAGCAAAUAGAACGCCUGAAAAUUAAGGAUAGAAGGGAGUGGGGGAAGAAGAACAAAGGAGAGGAAGAGAGGAAGAAAGAAGCCUUUUGCAGAUAGAGAGACCUACGUGACCACCAAGUAGAGUAUUUAUGUGAACUCUGUUGAAUCCAGAUUUGAGUAAACCAACAACAACAAAAAAAUUACCUUGAAAAUAAAUGGGGGA
ensembl:lncRNA